AUUGAACGCUGGCGGCAGGCCUAACACAUGCAAGUCGAACGAGUGGCGGACGGGUGAGUAAUGUCUGGGAAACUGCCCGAUGGAGGGGGAUAACUACUGGAAACGGUAGCUAAUACCGCAUACCAUCGGAUUUGCCCAGAUGGGAGUAGCUAGUAGGGGGGGUAACGGCUCACCUAGGCUACGAUCCAUAGCUGGGCUGCGAGGAUGACCAGACAAACUUGAACUGAGACACGGUCCAGACUCCUACGGGAGGCAGAAGUGGGGAAUAUUGCACAAUGGGCGCAAGCCUGAUGCAGCCAUGCCGCUUGUAUGAAGAAGGCCUUCGGGUUGUAAAGUACUUUCAGCGAGGAGGCGUUACUCGCAGAAGAAGCACCGGCUAACUCCGUGCCAGCAGCCGCGGUAAUAC
rnacentral:rRNA from 1 species